rnacentral:rRNA from 1 species
CCUACGGGUGGCAGCAGUGGGGAAUAUUGCGCAAUGCUCGUAAGAGUGACGCAGCGACGCCGCGUGAAUGACGAAGGCCUUCGGGUCGUAAAGUUCUGUCGACAGGGAAGAAAAUGCAUAUAAGUAACUGUGUGUGAAUUGACGGUACCUGUAUAAGCAGCACCGGCUAACUCCGUGCCAGCAGCCGCGGUAAUACGGAGGGGGCGAGCGUUGUUCGGAAUGACUGGGCGUAAAGAGCACGUAGGCGGUGUUGUAAGUCAUUAGUCAAAGACUAGAGCUCAACGUUAGUAAGGCUAGUGAUACUAUAAAACUAGAGUAUGAGAGAGGAUUGCAGAAUUCCUGGUGUAGCGGUGAAAUGCGUAGAUAUCAGGAGGAAUACCGGUAGCGAAGGCGGCAAUCUGGCUGGAAACUGACGCUGAGGUGCGAAAGCGUGGGUAGCAAACAGGAUUAGAUACCCGGGUAGUC